rnacentral:snRNA from 1 species
GUGCUCACUUUGGAAGCACAUAGACCAAAAUUGGAAUCAUACAGAGAAGAUAAGCAUGUCCUCUGUGCAAGGAUGACAUAAGUUUGUGAUACAUUUCAUAUUUUU